UUGAACGCUGGCGGCAGGCCUAACACAUGCAAGUCGAGCGGAUGAAGGGAGCUUGCUCCUGGAUUCAGCGGCGGACGGGUGAGUAAUGCCUAGGAAUCUGCCUGGUAGUGGGGGAUAACUUCCGGAAACGGGCGCUAAUACCGCAUACGUCCUGAGGGAGAAUGUGGGGGAUCUUCGGACCUCACGCUAUCAGAUGAGCCUAGGUCGGAUUAGCUAGUUGGUGGGGUAAAGGCCUACCAAGGCGACGAUCCGUAACUGGUCUGAGAGGAUGAUCAGUCACACUGGAACUGAGACACGGUCCAGACUCCUACGGGAGGCAGCAGUGGGGAAUAUUGGACAAAGGGCGAAAGCCUGAUCCAGCCAUGCCGCGUGUGUGAAGAAGGUCUUCGGAUUGUAAAGCACUUUAAGUUGGGAGGAAGGGCAGUAAGUUAAUACCUUGCUGUUUUGACGUUACCAACAGAAUAAGCACCGGCUAACUUCGUG
rnacentral:rRNA from 1 species